rnacentral:tRNA from 1 species
GGUGAGAUGGCCGAGUGGUCUAAGGCGCUGCGUUUAGGCCGCAGUCAGAAAUGGCGUGGGUUCGAAUCCCACUCUCAUCA